CUUCGCAAAUCCCCCAUUUAAGCGAAAAUCACGCGUUUUCUCUUCGCAAAUCCCCCAUUUAAGCGAAAAUCACGCGUUUUCUCUUCGAAAUGCAAAUCCCCCAUUUAAGCGAAAAAUCACGCGUUUUCUCUUCGCAAAUCCCCAUUUAAGUGAAAAUAACAUGUUUCCUCUAUGCAAAUUUCCCAUUUAAGCGAAAAUCACGCGUUUUCUCUUCGCAAAUCCCCCAUUUAAGCGAAAAUCACGCGUUUUCUCUUCGAGAAUCCCCCAUUUAAGUGAAAAUCACGCGUUUUCUCUUCGCAAAUCCCCCAUUUAAGCGAAAAUCACGCGUUUUCUCUUCGAAAUCCCCCAUUUAAGCGAAAAUCACGCGUUUUCUCUUCGCAAAUCCCCCA
rnacentral:lncRNA from 7 species